GUCACCACCCUGUGAAUAGAACUCACCAACACCUGACAUGAAGUUCCAGAGUUACACACUAAGCAGCAGAGAUUCUGAAGAAUAGAAAAGCUGAAACCCAAGGCAUCAGCUAUGAAGAAAACAA